rnacentral:lncRNA from 1 species
AACGCUAUCCUGCUUCUCAGAUGAGAACUCCACAGGCCACAGGGUUGAGGGAUCUGACAGACAUCAGGAGGGGACAGCGACAGGAACAAGCAAGAGUGUCUGAGAAGGGCUCCUCAAAGACCCACAGUAAGGAAAUACCUGUGACUAUCAACAGAAAUUAGACAUCUCCACUUCACAUCGCGGUUGCCGCAGAUCUCUUGAAAUACCAUUUGUGCAGACCACAACGUCAACACUACAGUAGGAGUUACCGCUGCCGCUGGCCCCUGCGGUUUCUGCCCUUCAUCAAGAAGCCAGUCUAGGACCCCCUCACAAGUGUGUUCUAAUCCUUUAGGCCCUGUGUCUUUUAAAUCACGUUUUCCGGGAAGGAGUACAAACUCUUCAGACUACCAAGCCCGCCAUUUAAAUUGGGAACUUCAGAGGCCGGAGCCCUGGAGCCGGAGACCCUCCCCGACAGCACAAGGUCGCCCGCAGCCCGCGCGCCCCCACCCCCUCGACCUCUUGGAGGUGGGGAUCCCCUCAGGGUUACCUGGGGGCCCCGUUAGGAACACGUGCCGGGCCAUACUGGUGGGCGGGGGUAGGGGUUGCGGUCAGGGGAGCAGUCCAGGUUGGGGUCGCAAUUCAGGUCAGGUCCGGACCAGGGUCGCGACUCAGGACCCGCCCACCGCGUGUCGCAGGCCCCGCCCCCAAGCGGUGCUUUGACCGGAAGCACCGCCCUCAAGACCACGCAUGCGCCUUCUCCCGAGUCCCCGGUCCGCGCCUGCGCAUUCAGCCCUCGGCAUUGGCGCCUGUGCCGCGGCAGUUCCUAUAGGCGGAGCGGGUUGUACGGUCUCUUAAGUUUCAUUCUGGGUUCAGGGCUUUUGUGGGGUAUUUGCAGAGAUAAGUGCGUGAGAACGUCAGUUAUUAAACUAUUGCUGCUUCAAGUCAGCGCCAUCA